CCUACGGGUGACAGCAGUGAGGAAUAUUGGUCAAUGGGCGAGAGCCUGAACCAGCCAAGUCGCGUGAGGGAGUACUGCCCUAUGGGUUGUAAACCUCUUUUGUCGGGGAGCAAAAGCCGCACGUGUCCGGCUGUGAGAGUACCCGAAGAAAAAGCACCGGCUAACUCCGUGCCAGCAGCCGCGGUAAUACGGAGGAUGCGAGCGUUAUCCGGAUUUAUUGGGUUUAAAGGGUGCGCAGGCGGAUUGUUAAGUCAGCGGUAAAAUCGUGGGGCUCAACCCCAUCCAGCCGUUGAAACUGGGGAUCUAGAGUGUGCGAGAGGUAUGCGGAAUGCGUGGUGUAGCGGUGAAAUGCAUAGAUAUCACGCAGAACCCCGAUUGCGAAGGCAGUAUACCGGUGCACAACUGACGCUCAGGCACGAAAGCGUGGGUAUCGAACAGGAUUAGAUACCCUUGUAGUC
rnacentral:rRNA from 1 species